rnacentral:rRNA from 1 species
UACGGAGGGGGCUAGCGUUGUUCGGAAUUACUGGGCGUAAAGCGCACGUAGGCGGCUUUGUAAGUUAGGGGUGAAAGCCCGGAGCUCAACUCCGGAAUUGCCUUUAAGACUGCAUCGCUUGAACGUCGGAGAGGUGAGUGGAAUUCCGAGUGUAGAGGUGAAAUUCGUAGAUAUUCGCAAGAACACCAGUGGCGAAGGCGGCUCACUGGCCCGGUACUGACGCUGAGGUGCGAAAGCGUGGGGAGCAAACAGG